UCUCGGCUCCGCCUAGUAGGCGGGACAGUUACCGAAGCCUCAGUGGGGGUUGGAACUUCCAGAUCAAAGCUGGCAUGGCUACCCACUACACGUACUGCCUGUCUGUGCUGCCUGGAGAGGCUUCUGCACACCUCCUUAGACUCCUGCUUUUCUCUCUGACUCCCCAGCAGGAUCGAUGUUGUCGUGGUUAUCGAGGCCAGCCACCGCUAGGUGGCGAUUCAGGAGUGAGGGGCUGUACCAGCCCCGGCACCUGCAGAAUCAGUUCUGGCCAGCGGGGCCCCGCGUAAACAUCGCCAAGGCGGAUGACGAAGUCAGCGCCAGCCGGCUGCAGGAACUGAACCGCCGCCCCGGACAGCGGGGGGCGAGUGGGGCUCCAGCAAGCAGGGAGAAACUCCCAGGAGGUUUCAGGGACACGCGUCAAAGGCUCCUCCUAUCCUGAGGCAAGAGGCCGGUCCCAGGAGAAGAGUAGAGCUUCACCAGUUCACCUCUUGCUGAGACAAGCAGCCUCCCAUCUAGGCAAAGGGCGGGCAGAAGCAACUCAAGCUCUGCUCCAAGAAGUUUCCUUUUCCACCCAGCUUGGGUUUCGGCCUGUUUGCUGAUGUCGGGAGGUGUAACUGGACGGGGCUGGCCGGAGCCUUUGAGGAUGGACAAUAAAGCCAUGAUGAAAAUGAUACUUGCCUUGUUUGAUCCAGACCAGCCAGUGUGCUCAGCAUUCCGCCCCCCCCCCCCAUCAUUUCAUCUUCCCGAGGAGGUGUAAUUAGUAGCCCCAUCUUAAGAGAGGAGGGAAUGAGGCAGAGAGGCAGCGGAGUGGUCUGUUCAAGGGUUCCCAGCUGGCACGUGGCAGGGUGGGCCUGGAACCUGUGUGGAGGGGCAGGGUUUACUCUUCCAGACAGGUUCCCUGGAGGCUCCCCUUUCUCUUCUGUAGCUAACUUGUACUCUCUUCACUAUUUCCAGGAAGCCGUCGGUGGUCUGUGUUCUCCCAGAGCCUUGUGCUUAUACGCCCUGACACUGCUCUGCUGCCUGGAGUCCCAGAAUCCCAUGCACAAAUGAGUCCUUUUGGGAAGGACCCUUUGAGUCUACCAGAAUAUUUUUUAUUUUUAUUUUUUUUUAUAAAUAAGCUUGGUAGCAAGUGACCUUACCCUCUGAGUCAUCUCUCCCUGGCCCCAGAAAAUUCUUUCUACCCCUUUGUUGCAGGAAGGGCCCCAGGCAGCUCCCCUCGGUCCUCUAGAUCUCCCUCACACCUCUUCAGAGCCACUGAGCGGUUUGGGACUAAAUGGAGGUCUGAAUGUGUGAGGAUGCAUUGCCCAGACCCUUCAUGUCCAAGUAUGUGUUGGGAUUGAGAUCGUGGUACCUGCUGAGUCAGGACCUGUGUUUACAGUAGUAUAAAUAGUGAAUGGCUGAGAUGCCAUCUCAACCCUGUCCUGGGCCCCCUGUUGACAGGCAACCUGGACACGGGGCAUAGAGAUAGGCUAGCCUUCUGUCAGGACCUCUGUGAAUGGCUCUGUGUGGACCAAGACCUCCCUUUGCUCAUAGGCUCUGUGGAAAGAAAAUGGCCAACAGAGAGGACUUGACAUCAGGGCUGCUGGGACCCUGUCCAGAAGUGGAUGUUUGGCUUCAGUUUUCUUUCUCUGUGUGUAGCCCUGGCUGUCCUGAACUUCGUAGACCAGGCUGGCCAUAAACUCUGCCUCCCAAGUGCUGGGAUUAAAGGAAUGUACCACCCCCCCUCCCCCCAAGCUGGCUUUGAGUUUUCUAGCUAUAGUUCAUGUUUGGGUGGAGAGGGCUGUACUGGCUUGUCUACAAAGUGUAUCUAUACAGAACUUACCCACCUUGCCCCUAGUUUUUCCUCCCUGGUACUCAGUUAUAGUCAUUAUCUACGAGAUGCCACACCUGUAAAGGCAGGCGCCAUGGUUCCUCCUUCAUAGGGCCCGACGCUACCCACCGCUGAUGAACAGAGUCGGACAGGACUCAAAACCUCAGCUGACCAUUUACUAAUUUUGUGAAUUUAGGGAAGCAACCUAACUUGGAACCCACUUCUAAACUCUAAAGUAGAUAAAAUGGCUUUACCACCGGGCUGCCAUGAGAAUGAAAUGAUUCAAUGACAACCUUCACAGACACCCUGCCCAGUCCCGCCCAGGUGCCCCAGGCAGUAGUAAUGUGCGUGCCCUAGGUUAGGAAAGGACAAGGAAGUGGCUGCCUUUGAGCCCCUGACUUAGGCAAGCACCCCAGCCGGAGGUGGGGCUGAGGGGUGGCGGCCCUGACUGCGAACCAAGCGCUAGGCUGAUGAAGAGAAUCUGUUUUGAAAGGCCCACACUACAGGAGAGGGAGGCAUAAAUACCAGAUCCAAGCAGGGUGGGGGCAUUCAUAUCUUCUUCCUCCAAGGAACAGGUGGCUCCUGAACAAUCCUCCCAGCCUGGCCGGACCCCAUACAGG